rnacentral:rRNA from 1 species
ACACAUGCAGUCGACGAAGUAGCAAUACUUAGUGGCAAACGGGUGAGUAACAUGUGGGUAUCUGCCCUUCGGCCUGGAAUAACACGGGGAAACUUGUGCUAAUACCAGAUAAGUCUUUUAAGAGAAAGCUUUAUGCACCGAUGGAUGAGCCCGCACCUGAUUAGUUAGUUGGUGAGGUAAUAGCUCACCAAGACAAUGAUCAGUAGCUGAUUUGAGAGGAUGAUCAGCCACAUUGGGACUGAGACACGGCCCAAACUCCUACGGGAGGCAGCAGUGGGGAAUCUUGCACAAUGGGGGAAACCCUGAUGCAGCGAUGCCGCGUGAGUGAAGAAGGCCUUUGGGUUGUAAAGCUCUUUCGUCGGGGAAGAAAAUGACUGUACCCGAAUAAGAAGGUCCGGCUAACUUCGUGCCAGCAGCCGCGGUAAUACGAAGGGACCUAGCGUAGUUCGGAAUUACUGGGCUUAAAGAGUUCGUAGGUGGUUAAAAUAGUUGGUGGUGAAAUCCCAGAGCUUAACUCUGGAACUGCCAUCAAAACUUUUUAGCUAGAGUAUGAUAGAGGAAAGUAGAAUUUCUAGUGUAGAGGUGAAAUUCGUAGAUAUUAGAAAGAAUACCAAUUGCGAAGGCAGCUUUCUGGGCCAUUACUGACACUGAGGAACGAAAGCAUGGGUAGCGAAGAGGAUUAGAUACCCUCGUAGUCCAUGCCGUAACGAUGUGUGCUAGACGUUGGAAAUUUUAUUUUCAGUGUCGCAGCAAAAGCGAUAAGCACACCGCCUGGGGAGUACGACCGCAAGGUUAAAACUCAAAUGAAUUGACGGGGACCCGCACAAGUAGUGGAGCAUGUGGUUUAAUUCGAAGAUACGCGCAGAACCUUACCAACACUUGACAUGUUCGUCGCAACUCUAAGAGAUUAGAGUUUUCGGUUCGGCCGGACGAAACACAGGUGCUGCAUGGCUGUCGUCAGCUCGUGUCGUGAGAUGUUGGGUUAAGUCCCGCAACGAGCGCAACCCUCACUUUUAGUUGCUACCAUUUAGUUGGGCACUCUGAAAGAACUGCCAGUGAUAAGCUGGAGGAAGGUGGGGAUGACGUCAAGUCCUCAUGGCCCUUACGUGUUGGGCUACACACGUGCUACAAUGGCAUCUACAACAGGAAGCAAGAAUGCGAAUUUAAGCAAAUCCUUAAAAGAUGCCUCAGUUCGGAUUGUACUCUGCAACUCGAGUACAUGAAGCUGGAAUUACUAGUAAUCGCGGAUCAGCGUGCCGCGGUGAAUACGUUCCCGGCUCUUGUACACACCGCCCGUCACACCAUGGGUAGUUGGCUCUACCUUAAGGCAAUAAUGUUAACCUCUGGGAAGCAUU